AUGUCGAUGGAGAUCCAGGAGGAGGACUCCGGCGAGACGGCGCCGGAGAUGGAGGCGGCCGGCGUGAGCACGGUGGCCAUCGCGGUGAGCGGGAGCAGGAGCAGCAGGCACGCCCUCAAGUGGGCCCUCGACAAGUUCGUGCCCGGCGGGAGGGUCCUCUUCCGGAUCCUCCAUGUCCGCCCGCCCAUCACCAUGGUGCCCACUCCAAUGGGCAAUUACAUCCCGGUCUCGCAAGUGCGCGACGAUGUGGCAUCGGCGUACAGGGAAGAGCUGGAAUGGCAAGCGAGGAACAUGUUGCUCCCUUACAAGAAGAUGUGUGCUCAGAGACAGGUGGAAGCCGAAGCUGUUUUACUUGAAUCUGAUGAUGUGCCGGCUGCUAUAAGCGAGGAAAUCGACAAAUUCAACAUUGGCAAGCUGGUCUUGGGCUCUUCGUCCAGAAGCAUAUUCCGAAGGAAGCUCAAAGGAAGCAAGACUGCAACCAAAAUAUCCGAAUGCAUUCCAAGCUUCUGUACGGCAUACGUCGUCUCAAAGGGCAAACUGUCAUUUGUGCGCUCAGCUACAUCUGAUCCCUGCGAAACACCCAAGACCAUAUCUUCUUCAACCGUUUCUUCUCCUAGCUCCAGAAGCCUUUCCAGUGCACCCUCAGAGUGUGCUGACAGAAAUGGAGCAGCAGCUGUAUUGUUCCGCCAGUCUUCUCUGUCAUCGCAGCAUGAUCACGCACUCGCAAACAUAAACAGGAGAGCUAGCCCUUCAGGCAGUGGAGGCAGCGAGAUCUCCUACCAUGCUGACACAACCCUGAUGACAAAUUCACACUCGAUCGCAUCGGGAGCGCAGCUCAGUAGCAGCAGCAGUGGGGAUUCAGUUUACAAGAGCUUCCGAAGAGAUAGCUCCCCAGACAUCCCCGACCUGCAGGCAGCAGUUUCAGAAAUUGCAACAAACCUGAAGCAUUCUCAUGACCAGGAUGAUCUGAAGCUUCAAAUUGAGAGUAUGAAGGUCAAACUGCGACAUCUUCAGAUGCUUCACGAGUGUGCUCAUACUGAACCGGUCGACUCCGCUCAAAAAUUACACAACAACUUGGGCAUCCAGCGCGUCGAGCAUGAAAUCAAGCUUCGAGAAAUUGACCUGACAGAAGAAAUGGUGAGGAGAUUGCUAAGGCGAAUGGAGAGAGAAGAAGAGGAGGUGGCCGAAAGAGAAGGUCAAGCCAUACAAAGCUCUUCUGAGCAGAAAGCAACAGAGGGUGAUGGUGAUCACCAAAAUGCUGGAGAGAUCAACACAGGACUGAAAAAUGCCGGACGAUGUUUAACCGAGUACAAUAGGUACUCAUGGGAGCAUAUCCAAGCAGCGACUUCGUCGUUUUCAAGUGAUCUUGUGAUUGGUAAGGGGACAUAUGGAACAGUCUACAAGGCUAAGUUUCAGCAUACUGUUGCAGCAGUGAAAGUUUUGAACUCCCUGGAAGGUUUUGGAACUCAGCAGUUACAGCAGGAGGUACCGUAUCUACUUGGAAACACAAAUAUGUUCUUCACUAUCUGCUCAUUACACCCAGAGCUGGAGGUCCUGGGCAAGAUCCGGCACCCUCACCUGCUGCUGCUGCUGGGCGCGUGCCCGGAGCGCGGCUGCGUGGUGUACGAGUACAUGGAGAACGGCAGCCUGGACGAUGCUCUCAACCACCGCCGGAAUGGCACGCCACCACUCGCCUGGUACGACCGCGUCCGGGUCGCCUGGGAGGUGGCCACUGCCGUCGCGUUCCUCCACAGUGCUAGGCCGGACCCCAUCAUCCACCGCGACCUCAAGCCGGCCAACAUCCUGCUCGACCGGAACCUCUCCAGCAAGGUCGGCGACGUCGGCCUCUCGACGGCGCUGCUCCACCACUCGGGCGCCGGAGGUGGAGGAGGCCAGCAGCAGUCCACGAUGGUGAGGAACACGACGCCCGUGGGCACGUUCUGCUACAUCGACCCGGAGUACCAGCGGACGGGCGCCGUGUCGGCCAAGUCGGACGUGUACGCUCUCGGCGUGGUGGUGCUGCAGCUGCUCACGGGGCGGACGUCACCGCUCGGGCUCGCCCACGCCGUGGAGACCGCGCUGGAGGAAGACGGCGGCGACUCCUUCGCGGAGAUGCUGGACGCGACUGCCGGGGAGUGGCCGCCGGAGGAGGCGCGAGAGCUCGCCUUGCUGGCUGUGCGGUGCGCGGAGAUGCGGCGCAGGGACCGGCCCGGGCUGCGCGAGCACAUCCUCCCAGCGCUGGAGCGGAUCAAGGACGUCGCUGCCAGAGCCGCCAGGGAGACGAAGGCCCUUCUCGUCCGGACAGCAUCAUCGUCAGCGGCCCCGGGCCACUUCCUCUGUCCCAUUCUUCAGGAAAUCAUGGAGGACCCAUGCGUCGCCGCCGACGGGUACACCUACGACCGGAAGGCAAUCGAGACAUGGGUGAGCAUGAAGGACAAGUCGCCGAUGACCAACCUCCGGCUGCCGAGCAAGAGCCUCAUCCCCAACCACUCGCUCCGGUCGGCCAUCAUGGACUGGAGCUCCAAGAACAGAUGA
rnacentral:rRNA from 1 species